rfam:Salmo salar isolate Sally breed double haploid chromosome ssa09, whole genome shotgun sequence.
CCCUGUGGCUCAGUUGGUAGAGCAUGGUGUUUGCAAUGCCAGCAUGGUGUGUGCAACACCAGGGUUGUGGGUUUGAUUCCCACAGGGG